GAUGAACGCUGGCGGCGUGCCUAAUACAUGCAAGUAGAACGCUGAAGGAGGAGCUUGCUCUUCUGGAUGAGUUGCGAACGGGUGAGUAACGCGUGGGUAACCUGCCUGGUAGCGGGGGAUAACUAUUGGAAACGAUAGCUAAUACCGCAUGACAACAGUUAUUGCAUGAUAACUGUUUAAAAGGGGCAACUGCUCCACUACCAGAUGGACCUGCGUUGUAUUAGCUAGUUGGUGAGGUAACGGCUCACCAAGGCGACGAUACAUAGCCGACCUGAGAGGGUGAUCGGCCACACUGGGACUGAGACACGGCCCAGACUCCUACGGGAGGCAGCAGUAGGGAAUCUUCGGCAAUGGACGGAAGUCUGACCGAGCAACGCCGCGUGAGUGAAGAAGGUUUUCGGAUCGUAAAGCUCUGUUGUAAGAGAAGAACGAGUGUGAGAGUGGAAAGUUCACACUGUGACGGUAUCUUAUCAGAAAGGGACGGCUAACUACGUG
rnacentral:rRNA from 1 species